GCCUACGGGACGCAGCAGUGGGGGAUAUUGCACAAUGGGGGGAACCCUGAUGCAGCGACGCCGCGUGAAGGAAGAAGUAUCUCGGUAUGUAAACUUCUAUCAGCAGGGAAGAAAAUGACGGUACCUGACUAAGAAGCCCUGGCUAACUACGUGCCAGCAGCCGCGGUAAUACGUAGGGGGCAAGCGUUAUCCGGAUUUACUGGGUGUAAAGGGAGCGUAGGCGGCAGUGCAAGUCAGAAGUGAAAGCCCGGGGCUCAAC
rnacentral:rRNA from 1 species